GGUGGAAGGUGGAGGUGAGAGGAUCACUUGAGCCUAGGAGUUCAAGACCAGCCUGGAUAAAAAGACAAGACCCCAUCUCUACAAAAAUAAAAAAAAAUUAGCCAAGCAUGGUGGUGUAGCUUAUAGUCCCAGUUCUUGGGAGGCUGAGGCAGGAGGAUUGCUUAAGCCCAGGAGUUCAACGCUGCAGUGAGCCAUGAUUGCACCACUGCACUUCAGGCUGGGCAACAGAGGGAGACUUUGUCUCAAACAAACAAAAAAACAAACAAAAAAAAAAAAAAAAAAAAAGAUCGUGUAAGUGAAAGAAAGACUCUUAAACCCAAUCCAUCUCUUUCUUCAUUUAACCGAGAUUGU
rnacentral:lncRNA from 1 species